ACGGAGGGUGCGAGCGUUGUUCGGAAUUACUGGGCGUAAAGGGCGCGUAGGCGGCACUGUAAGUCAGAUGUGAAAGUCCAGGGCUUAACCCUGGAAGUGCAUCUGAUACUGCAGAGCUUGAGUAUCGGAGGGGAAAGUAGAAUUCCCGGUGUAGAGGUGAAAUUCGUAGAUAUCGGGAGGAAUACCGGUGGCGAAGGCGACUUUCUGGACGAAUACUGACGCUGAUGCGCGAAAGCGUGGGGAGCAAACAGGAUUAGAUACCCUGGUAGUCCACAGCUGUAAACGAUGUACACUAGAUGUAGGGGGUGUUGACCCCUCCUGUGUCGCAGCUAACGCAUUAAGUGUACCGCCUGGGGAGUACGGUCGCAAGAUUA
rnacentral:rRNA from 1 species